rnacentral:rRNA from 1 species
CAGCAGUGGGGAAUAUUGGACAAUGGGCGAAAGCCUGAUCCAGCCAUGCCGCGUGUGUGAAGAAGGCCUUUUGGUUGUAAAGCACUUUAAGCGAGGAGGAGGCUACCGAGAUUAAUACUCUUGGAUAGUGGACGUUACUCGCAGAAUAAGCACCGGCUAACUCUGUGCCAGCAGCCGCUGUAAUACAGAGGGUGCGAGCGUUAAUCGGAUUUACUGGGCGUAAAGCGUGCGUAGGCGGCUUUUUAAGUCGGAUGUGAAAUCCCUGAGCUUAACUUAGGAAUUGCAUUCGAUACUGGGAAGCUAGAGUAUGGGAGAGGAUGGUAGAAUUCCAGGUGUAGCGGUGAAAUGCGUAGAGAUCUGGAGGAAUACCGAUGGCGAAGGCAGCCAUCUGGCCUAAUACUGACGCUGAGGUACGAAAGCAUGGGGAGCAAACAGGAUUAGA